CUGGGGUUUAAAAUGGAACUAUUACUUCUGAAUAUUGGAAGUUUCUCAUUAAGUAAGCCAUACAUGUACUUGAUGACCCAGUACUUUUCAGUUCUAGGUAUUUUAUGCAAGAUACACAAAUGUAUGUCAAAAAAACUUGUAUGAGAAUAUUUAGAACAGCUUUAUUCAUAAUUAUUUCAAAUUGCAAACCACCUAAAUGAUCAUUGUCAUGGUCCGUGCAUUUGGGUUAGAAAAAGAAUUUUCCUGAUUCAUAGCAGGGUGAAAAGAAAGAUGAGUUUACUGAGAUAAGAAAUGCUGCUAGCAUAGUGGGAUGACUUCCUGAUGAUCAGAGAGAGCUGAAUCUGAGCGUGUGAUCAUGUCUGUUUUAUAGUCUAGGGGGAGGAAAGGUCUUAGUGUACACUUGCUGAUAGGCUGACUGGUUAGGGAAAGAGGGUCUUACGAUACACUUGCUGGUUUGUUGGGGGCAUAUAAGGUCCUUAUAGAGGUGGGGGAAGAGUGGGCCUUUCAUAGUAGGGGUCAGGAAGGACUAGGACAGUUGCUCAAGUUGGGAGGGGGCACUACAAUGAGAUGGAUGGGGCAAUGAUAAGGAUCUAGUAAUUCUUUUUGGGGGGUCUAGUAAAUCUUUAAUUUUUUUUUUAACUUUUUUUACUUUUUAGGGCUGCACCCACUGCAUAUGGAAGUUCUCAGGGUGAAAUCAGAGCUGCAGCUGCCAGCCCACACCACAGUAACAGCAACUCAGGAUCUGAGCCAUGUCUGCAACAUACACCACAGCUCACAGCAAUGCUGGAUCCUUAACCCACUGAGCAAGGCCAGGGAUCAAACCUGCAUCCUCUGGAGUUCCCAUUGUGGCACUGCAGAAAUGAAUCUGACUAGGAACCAUAAAGUCCCACAACCAUCAACAGACUAAUUGGAUGCCCAUAACCAAAACAAAACAAAACAAAACAAAAACCCAGCACAACCAGAUCAUCUGAGAAAUCCAUCCAUCACUGCAACCAGAAGAGAGUGGAUCGGACCUUAUCAGUGCCUACAAGAGUCAAGGUAGUCACAGUGGUAACAAUGGCAGUAGAGGCAGCUGGUGGACGAUCCAGCAGAGGUGACUGAAAAUGAAAUUCUCUCUGGCUGCUCUGGUGCAGCUGGAGGGACAUGUUCCUCUUCAUCAGCACCUGGGUUUCUGUAAAGGGACCUCUAUGGCUGUGCAGAGGGAAGAAAAAUGAAGAAGGCAGAGAAAGGAAUGUAAACAAACACAUUUGUCUGCCCUGGGAUUUCAGGGCAAGGUUCACCCACCUCUGGGACUCCUCAACUUGAGGAUGUCCCCACUGGUUUGUGUAUACACCCAAAACCCCAAUGUGCCAAGCCCACACCUUCCCUAAUUCUGUCACCAGCCGGUUUUUGUUUUGUUUUGUUUUUGCUUUUUAUUCCUGGAUUAUAGGUACACACCUAACUAUAGCAGCUAGUCAACUGUGGUAAGAGAAACCAAUGAUUGUGCUAUAGUGCCACCUUUUUGAAAAGAAAGAAAAAUUUUGAAUUGCCAAUAUAUUGACAUACUAAAUUCAAACUAAACAAAGCUUUCCCUAAAUAAGAAAAGUGUGUGCUGCUUCAGAUGAGAUCAACAAAGCACAUUUUAUAAAAUGCUUUGCAAAGUCAUGGUAAUAUGACAUCACAAAAAGAAAAUGAGUUUUCCAGCAAUUGAUCUCAAAGCCAUGGAAUAUUGUAAUCUAAUUAUUAAAGAAUUCAAAAUAGCUCUUAUUAAGUAAGUCAACAAGGUGCAGGAAAAUUCAGAGGUAUUUCAAAGAACUCAGGAAUAAAAUUAGUAAAAAGAAGGAGUACUUUACCA
rnacentral:lncRNA from 1 species